CGGUAACAGGUCUUUCGGGAUGCUGACGAGUGGCGAACGGGUGAGUAAUACAUCGGAACGUGCCUAGUAGUGGGGGAUAACUACUCGAAAGAGUGGCUAAUACCGCAUGAGAUCUAUGGAUGAAAGCAGGGGACCUUCGGGCCUUGUGCUACUAGAGCGGCCGAUGGCAGAUUAGGUAGUUGGUGGGAUAAAAGCUUACCAAGCCUACGAUCUGUAGCUGGUCUGAGAGGACGAUCAGCCACACUGGGACUGAGACACGGCCCAGACUCCUACGGGAGGCAGCAGUGGGGAAUUUUGAACAAUGGGCGCAAGCCUGAUCCAGCAAUGCCGCGUGCAGGAUGAAGGCCUUCGGGUUGUAAACUGCUUUUGUACGGAACGAAAAGUCUUGGGUUAAUACCCUGGGAUCAUGACGGUACCGUAAGAAUAAGCACCGGCUAACUACGUGCCAGCAGCCGCGGUAAUACGUAGGGUGCAAGCGUUAAUCGGAAUUACUGGGCGUAAAGCGUGCGCAGGCGGUU
rnacentral:rRNA from 1 species